UACGUAGGGGGCAAGCGUUGGUCCGGAUUUAUUGGGCGUUAAAGAGCAGUGUAGCGGCCAGGGUAGGUCUGCUGUGAAAACUCGAGGCUCAACCUCGAGACGCCGAUGGAAACCAUGUGGCUAGAGUCCGGAAGAGGCGAGUGGAAUUCCUGGUGUAGCGGUGGAAUGCGCAGAUAUCAGGAGGAACACCAAUAGCGAAGGCAGCUCGCUGGGACGUUACUGACACUGAGGCGCGAAAGCGUGGGGAGCGAACAGG
rnacentral:rRNA from 1 species